CCGGCGUCUAAGGUACGCCACUACGUUACCUUACUGAUGAGUCCAGUAGUGGAAGACGGGACGAAACGCCAA
rnacentral:hammerhead_ribozyme from 15 species